rnacentral:tRNA from 1 species
GCCCCGGUAGCCUAGGCUGGUUAUGGCGCCGCCUUGGUAAUGCGGGGCUGCAUGCCGCGGGUUCGAGUCCCGCCCGGGGCUCCA